rnacentral:rRNA from 1 species
GAUCAAGAUUUUAAGAGUGCGCGGCGGAUGUCUUGGCGGCAGGAGCCGAUGAAGAACGUGGCUAAGCUACGAUAAGCCCCGGGGAGUCGCAAGCAGACUGUGAUCCGAGGAUUUUCGAAUGAUUGCAUACUGAAUACAUAGGUAUGCAAGGGGAACCGGGGGAACUGAAACAUCUCAGUACUCCGAGGAAAAGAAAGUAAAUAACGAUUGCCUUAGUAGCGGCGAGCGAAACGGCAACAUGUCUAAACCAAUCAGCUUGCUGAUUGGGGUUGCGGGACCGCGACAUUGGAUUUGACUUGGUUAGCCGAACGGGUUGGAAAACCCGACCAUAGACGGUGAUAGUCCGGUAGGCGAAAACUUGGUUGAAACAUAGCGGUAUCCCAAGUACUGCGGGGCACGAGAAAUCCCGUGGGAAUCUGUGAGGACCACCUCAUAAGACUAAAUACUACCUGCCGACCGAUAGCGAAUAGUAGGGCGACUGAAAGAUGAAAAGAACCCCGUUUAGGGGAAUGCAAUAGUACCUGAAACCGCGUACUUACAAGCCGUCGAAGACCUAUGCUUCAGCAAUGGGGAAAGGUUGACGGCGUGCCUCUUGAAUGAUGAGCCGGCGAGUUGCUGUUUAUGGCAAGCAUAAGCCCUUUUGGGGUGGAUGCGUAGCGAAAGCGAGUGCGAAUGGCGCGCUAGUCGUAAGGAGCAGACGCGAAACCGUAGUGAUCUAUCCAUGGACAAGAUGAAGCGAGAGUAAAAUCUCGUGAAGGUCUGAACCCACUAAUGUUGAAAAAUUAGGGGAUGAGCUGUGGAUAGGACUGAAAGUGUAAUCAAACUCGGAGAUAUCUCGUUCUCCCCGAAAUAUAUUUAGGUAUAGCGUCGAGACACUACUCUAUGGGGGUAGAGGACAGAAUGGUUGAGGGGGACCACCAUCCUACCAAUUCCAAUCAAACUCCGAAUACCAUAGAGAUUAUCUCGGCAGACAGACCGUGGGGGACAAGCUUCACGGUCGAGAGGGAAAGAGCCCAGACCGCCGAUUAAGGUCCCAAAAUUAUGCUAAGUGGAAAAAGGAAGUGAAGGUGCUAAGACAGCUGGAAUGUUGGCUUAGAAGCAGCCACCAUUUAAAAAGUGCGUAAUAGCUUACCAGUCGAGCACUUUUGCGCCGAAAAUUAACGGGACUCAAGCAUAAUACCGAAGUCGCGGAUUUAACCGGAGAUGCGUCUCUGGUUAAGUGGUAGGGGAGCGUUCUAUACGGAGUGAAGCCGCACCGAGAGGAGCGAGGGCAACCUUUGUGGACUGUAUAGAAGUGAUAAUGCCGGCAUAAGUAACGAUAAACAAGGUGAGAAUCCUUGUCGCCGUAAACCCAAGGUUUCCCGGGUAAAGUCAUUCUUCCCGGGGUUAGGCGGGACCUAAGACGAGGUCGAAAGGCGUAGUCGAUGGAUUGUAGGUUAAUAUUCCUACCCCGUUGCGGAGGUUAAUAUACGGAAUGACGGAGAAGGCUAAUUGUGGGCGGUUCGUAUGGUUGGACCGCGCAAAAACGUAGUCCGGGGCGAGUUAAAUGCUUUCCCCAUUAAGGAUGAGGUUGAUGCUAAAGCGCAAGCAUAAGCCACUGAUGCCAUGCUUCCAAGAAAACUUUCGUAUAUUCAAAGCAACGCCCGUACCGCAAACCGACACAGGUGGGUGAGGAGAGUAUCCUCAGGCGCGCGAGAGAACUGUAGUCAAGGAACUCGGCAAAAUUGGUCCGUAACUUCGGAAUAAGGACCGCUUCGAUUGGUGAAGGAUUUACUCUGGAAGCCGAUUGAAGCCACAGCAAAGAGGCCCAAGCGACUGUUUACCAAAAACACAGGUCUGUGCUAACACGCAAGUGGACGUAUACAGACUGACGCCUGCCCGAUGCUGGAAGGUUAAGGUGAGGGGUUAACGCUCCGAGCCGAAGCCCCAGUGAAUGGCGGCCGUAACUAUGACGGUCCUAAGGUAGCGAAAUUCCUUGUCGGGUAAGUUCCGACGUGCAUGAAUGGCGUAACGACUUGGGCGCUGUCUCAACUACAGACUCGGUGAAAUUGGAGUAUUCGUGAAGAUACGACUUACCCGCAGCAAGACGGAAAGACCCUGUGAACCUUUACUAUAUGCUAAUAUUGGUAACUUAUUUAACUUGUGUAGGAUAGGUGGGAGACGAUGAUGUUUGCACGCCAGUGUAAACGGAGUCAACGGUGAAAUACCACUCUUGUUACGUGAGUUAUCUAACCUGGUUCCGUGAAUCCGGACUGGGAACAGUGUUAGUUGGGUAGUUUGACUGGGGCGGUCUCCUCCUAAAGAGUAACGGAGGAGUUCAAAGGUCACCUCAGUACGGUUGGCAACCGUACGUAGAGUGUAUAGGCAUAAGGUGGCUUGACUGCGAGAGUGAUAACUCGAGCAGGUGCGAAAGCAGGACUAAGUGACCCCGCGCUUCUGAGUGGAAGGGGCGUGGCUCAUCAGAUAAAAGGUACUCCGGGGAUAACAGGCUGAUCUCUCCCAAGCGUUCACAGCGACGGGGAGGUUUGGCACCUCGAUGUCGGCUCAUCGUAUCCUGGGGCUGCAGUUGGUCCCAAGGGUUUGGCUGUCCGCCAAUUAAAACGGUACGCGAGCUGGGUUCAGACCGGCGUGAGCCAGGUCGGUCCCUAUCUGCUGUGGGCGCAGGAUGAUUGCGGAGAAUUGACUUUAGUACGAGAGGACUUAGUCGGACGAACCUCUGGUGUUCCAGUUGUGCCACCAGGUGCAGUGCUGGGUAGCUAUGUUCGGAACGGAUAAACGCUGAAGGCAUCUAAGCGUGAAGCCAACUCCAAGAUUAGUCAUCCAUUUAGGCAACUUAUAGACUAUGAGUUCGAUAGGGCGGGUGUGUAAGAACCGUGAGGUUUUGAGCUAACCGCUACUAAUCAGCCGAACUCUUGAUCGC